AGUGAACGCUGGCGGUAGGCCUAACACAUGCAAGUCGAACGGCAGCGCAGUAAGAGCUUGCUCUUACGGGUGGCGAGUGGCGGACGGGUGAGGAAUACAUCGGAAUCUACUUUUUCGUGGGGGAUAACGUAGGGAAACUUACGCUAAUACCGCAUACGACCUACGGGUGAAAGCAGGGGAUCUUCGGACCUUGCGCGAUUGAAUGAGCCGAUGUCGGAUUAGCUAGUUGGCGGGGUAAAGGCCCACCAAGGCGACGAUCCGUAGCUGGUCUGAGAGGAUGAUCAGCCACACUGGAACUGAGACACGGUCCAGACUCCUACGAGAGGCAGCAGUGGGGAAUAUUGGACAAUGGGCGCAAGCCUGAUCCAGCCAUACCGCGUGGGUGAAGAAGGCCUUCGGGUUGUAAAGCCCUUUUGUUGGGAAAGAAAAGCAGCAGGUUAAUACCCCGCUGUUCUGACGGUACCCAAAGAAUAAGCACCGGCUAACUUCGU
rnacentral:rRNA from 1 species